UGGGGAAUUUUGGACAAUGGGGGAAACCCUGAUCCAGCCAUCCCGCGUGUGCGAUGAAGGCCUUCGGGUUGUAAAGCACUUUUGGCAGGAAAGAAACGUCAUGGGUUAAUACCCCGUGAAACUGACGGUACCUGCAGAAUAAGCACCGGCUAACUACGUGCCAGCAGCCGCGGUAAUACGUAGGGUGCAAGCGUUAAUCGGAAUUACUGGGCGUAAAGCGUGCGCAGGCGGUUCGGAAAGAAAGAUGUGAAAUCCCAGAGCUCAACUUUGGAACUGCAUUUUUAACUGCCGGGCUAGAGUGUGGCAGAGGGAGGUGGAAUUCCGCGUGUAGCAGUGAGAUGCGUAGAUAUGCGGAGGAACACCGAUGGGGAAGGCAGCCUCCUGGGAUAACACUGACGCUCAUGCACGAAAGCGUGGGGAGCAAACAGG
rnacentral:rRNA from 1 species